rnacentral:misc_RNA from 1 species
GAUGAAGAACGCAGCGAAAUGCGAUAAGUAAUGUGAAUUGCAGAAUUCCGUGAAUCAUCGAAUCUUUGAACGCACAUUGCGCCCCCUGGCAUUCCGGGGGGCAUGCCUGUCCGAGCGUCAUUUCUGCCCUCAAGCACGGCUUGUGUGUUGGGUGUGGUCCCCCCGGGGACCUGCCCGAAAGGCAGCGGCGACGUCCGUCUGGUCCUCGAGCGUAUGGGGCUUUGUCACUCGCUCGGGAAGGACCUGCGGGGGUUGGUCACCACCAUAUUUUACCACGGUUGACCUCGGAUCAGGUAGGAGUUACCCGCUGAACUUAAGCAUAUCAAUAAGCGGAGGA